UCAAACAUUGCUGUCAAGCUCAGUUUGUUACUCAAACUUGUAAAAAUGUCUUCCUCAGAAACAACAAAGAUCGCAUCAAGUCACUGACUUGCAGCAUUCACAAGCAUGUGGGCACAGUGGACAGUUGAUUGCACUGAGUUGUUGACUUUGCAGCAAUCCCUCAUAUACUAAGCAUAUAUGUAGCGAAAGCUGUAAGAAAACCUCCCCAUUCACAGGUAGAAAACUCCAGCAGAACUUGGCUCAGCGUACGUAGCCAUCUGCCACUGGCCGAGGGUUUUAGAAGACAGAGCAAAACACAAACACACUCAUCUAAGAAUGUUUUCUAUGCUAAAGAAAAAGUAGAUAAUUAAUGGCAGUAGUACCCUUUUAUUGGCUUCAUGUAUGGAAGACAGAGAGACAGAAAAGCUCUGAACCAGUUUGAAAAAAUAAACUGCGAUCCAUCUCCACAGGAGAGGAGCCCAAUAACUAAAGGAUCUGCCUCCCAUUCUACUUUUAGAAACUGAAGGAACCGCCUGUAAACCUUCAGUCUGAGAGCAAAGUGUUCUGAUGGAAACACAUAGAGCUAUUAGGUCUCUAAUAUAUGAUGAAGCUUGGUUAUAAAUUUUAAUUUUCACCAGAACUCUCGCUGUAGCGUUCUGGAUAAGCUGAAGGCAUAACUACAUUUUUAGGACUUGCUGAGUGUAAGUACUCACAGUAGUCCUGCUUUGAAGUAAAAAAUACAUGAACUAGUUUCUUAGUGUGACUCCUUUUGCAAUACUUCAUAGGUGAAAUGAGGAGAACCUAGACACCUGUUUAAAAUGGCAUUUAAUUGAGAUAUCCUGGUCAAAAAUAACACCAAGGAUUUUUAUUUUAAUACCAGACAACCACUUAAUGCUAUUAAAAGUAAUUGAAUGACUUAGAUGUUUGUUUUUUUAAAGACUAAGCUCCAAAGAUGGAUGUUUACAGUUUAUUAUAUCCUGUUUUAGGAUCAAAAACUCCCCAAGGAAAGAAACUAAUCUCUGCUACCAUGUUGUCAGAACAGGAUAUUGGAAAAAUACUAACCAUGCAUAUUCAGCUCUAACUUUGUCCAAGCAAAAACUGAAUAAGCAUAAUGUGUAAUUAACAUAACAGCCCAUAAGGUCAAGCCCAAUAAAUAUUAGUAGAUCUCUGUUUGUUCAUUACAUAAACUCGGAGGCAUUUACAUUUUACAAUUACAUUGUCAAAAAGACACUGCAUUAAUUCACAUAUUGUUAAAAUGUAAUAUUUCGGCCUAAAAUCUUUACUUUUUUUUUAAGUGUUUGUAGCUCUCUUAUUAUCUGCUCAUAUUUCAAUAGGAGAUUAUGUUGAUUAGAAGAGCAACACACUUUUGGUAAAAGAAAAAAUGUUUUUAUGAAAUCACUUAUCUGGCCGUAGAUAGGAUAAACUUGAGGUUCUGAUUUUGCUUGGAUGAGAACACCAUCCAUUUAUGUAGUUUUAUUUAUUUAUUUUUGCUGAAUCGUAUUGGUGCAGUUUUGUCCUUAUUCUCUGAAGAGAGUAAACACGUAAAUGGUGACGCUGAUUUGUUUCCAGAUAGGCCUGGGGUGUGUGAGCUCAACUUUUACUUUAUUCUGUUUAAUGGUGUGUCUUCCCCAGACAGACGGCGUGUGUGUGCAUGUGCAUAAAUUUGUGUAUAAGUUUAUGAUUUUGGGUUCUUUGAGAAGAGAAGUGUUCAACUGUAUCCAGGGGCCUUCUCAAACCCCCCUUUACCUCAGUUCCCCAUUCAGAGCUUGCUUUGGAUACCAUCAUCCUCUCUCUCAUGACACACACACAUCCACACACUUCCUGUCUCUCUCUUGGUUUCUCUCUGUGUUGCUCAUCAUGCUUCCACUUUGAAGUCACAGCUUUCUCUUUUCCCUUUUUUGUGUCUGUGUAGCUUUGAUGCGCUAACAUUCUGUGAAUAGCUCCUCUAAUGCCUGCUUCCUUGUGCCUCACUCUUGCAGCUCUGCCUGUGUCGGAACGGAGACCCGGCACAACGCAGCUGGGACAGUGGCCUCCAUCUUAAUCAGCCUCGCUUUGCCAUAUAGAUCAGGGAGUCCCUUGUAAGGGUCUGGCACAACUUCCAGUCCUCCUCCAAUCCCGAUUUGUUUUUGUCAAAACCAAUGAUCCACUAUGAAGCUGACAAGCGGAAGGAUUUUCUUUCAUAAAAACCUUGACAUCGUAUGGAUGUGCCCCACGUCUCUCAGCAAAGAAAAAAGAAGAAAAAGCCAGCCCCCUGUUGGUCUGCGUGAUGUAGCCAAGGACAGAGUGGGUUUCUGGAGGUGGGUGCUGCAUUGUGGGGGCGUUGGGUUGAGGUGCCGGAGAGCUGAUCGAUCCACAGCGGCAGGUGGCCGAGCAGAAGAGGGCUCCCGAAACCUGCCCUGACUACAAAGCAAACGGCACGCAAUCUGCAAACAGAAAAGCAAGUGAAGAGAGGGCUGUCUGAUAACAGAGGACACGCAUUUGAAGAAACAACAACCAUCAGAGCGGACGUGCACGAACUCUCAACACUCAGUCAACAACAACACAGACGGUGCAUGUCUUUCAUAUGGUUGCUUAAGUGUUUCUUUCUUUUUGAAGAAGUUCCACCCAUUAUCCUGAAAUAUAAAUCACACAUGUCAUUAAAGUGGCUUUUUUUCUGAAAACAAUAGUGUCUGUUUUCGAAUGCAGAAGACAGUGGGAGGCUUUCUGUGCCACCCCCGACUCUCUUGCAUCUUGUCGAUGGCUUCACUAAUCGCCAUGACUGACUGACCUUUAGGCCGGUCCCCUUCUGGGAUUUACACCUUUCACUGGCUCGACCUUUGCCAUCCAACCCUCCUACAGACACUCUCGUCACGUGAGCUCAGCAUCAGCGCUGGACAAGACCUGCUGCUGGCCAAUGUGUAGGCUGCUGCUGCCUCAGCAAGUCAAAACCUCUCUAGGUGGUAGGAUUCAGCCAGUGCUUCAUUAACCCACCCCCCAACCUCAACCAACUCAUCUACCCCCCACCUGCAUCAUGAAAGUUUCCCCUAUGGCCUGGAGCAAGGUAGACUUGCUUAAAGCUCAGCCUAAUGACGUGUGCCAUGGUGGAGGAGACCAAAUGCCACCACCACAUAUGGGGAUGAUUACAGGAAGUGGUGCAGAAUUGUAGGGGGACCUCAAGAUUUUGAGGGGUGGGUGUUGGGGACUCAAUUGUGGCACUGCGGCUGUGAAUUCCCAGAGGCCUUUGUGUGGGGAAACUCAGCAAAAGCUUCAUCCUGCCCAGGUCACGCAAAUUUAGGAAAAAAUGCACAGCUUAUGGGGGUAGCGUUCUCUUUAUUCCUUAAUUAAACACCCAUGAUGCAUUGCCUUUGCAGAUUUAAUGAAAAACAAACAAAAUACUAGGCUGUGGUUUCCCUUAAAUGGCAAACAAAUAGAUGCACUCGAAGUCAAGUCAACUGUCUUGUUCUGCUAAAGUCAAAAUAACUUUAUUGGUCUUUAAAACAGUGGAUAAAGUAAAUUAAGCUUUUCCUUCGUAUAGAGGUUAUUCGUCUCUGAGUCUGCAUGUGCACUGGAGCAUGAAAGCAGAAAGAAAGAAACAAUUUAUUGUACACUUUUUGUAGAUACUUUGUUUUUCUCUACUGAUCUGCUCUAUGAAUCUCAUCCUAACCAGAGACUUUUCUUUAGCAGUCAGUCUGGUCCAGAAGCACUGAUUUUACUUUCUUAAUAAGAGUGAAAUCAUCACAAGGAUUUCUUACUUUUUAUACAUCAAGUUUUUUAAGCAUCACCUUACUGUGACAUCAUAAAAAGUGUAUUAAACCUUUUCAGUUUUUUUUGUGUGUGUGUUUUAAAUGAGUAUUUGCUUGCUAUUGUAUUUUUUUUUCAUGUAAAAUUUCCUAGAUCUAAGUUGUGAAAAUUAACAGAAUAUUAACCCGUAGGUAAAAAUUCCAGCUGGAACAGUUGGACCCUUUCUUACUAACCCAGACCUCAAAAUCCAAUAUGGCCACCAGUCAUGCAAAACUCAAUAAACAACAUUUUUUAAUCUGA